rnacentral:rRNA from 1 species
AUGGAGCUGAAGCCAGUCGCAGAUACCAGCUGGCUGCAACUGUUUAUUAAAAACACAGCACUGUGCAAACACGAAAGUGGACGUAUACGGUGUGACGCCUGCCCGGUGCUGGAAGGUUAAUUGAUGGGGUUAUCCGUAAGGAGAAGCUCUUGAUCGAAGCCCCAGUAAACGGCGGCCGUAACUAUAACGGUCCUAAGGUAGCGAAAUUCCUUGUCGGGUAAGUUCCGACCUGCACGAAUGGCGUAAUGAUGGCCAGGCUGUCUCCACCCGAGACUCAGUGAAAUUGAACUCGCUGUGAAGAUGCAGUGUACCCGCGGCAAGACGGAAAGACCCCGUGAACCUUUACUAUAGCUUGACACUGAACAUUGAGCCUUGAUGUGUAGGAUAGGUGGGAGGCUUUGAAGUGUGGACGCCAGUCUGCAUGGAGCCAACCUUGAAAUACCACCCUUUAAUGUUUGAUGUUCUAACGUAGCCCCAUAAUCUGGGGUGCGGACAGUGUCUGGUGGGUAGUUUGACUGGGGCGGUCUCCUCCCAAAGCGUAACGGAGGAGCACGAAGGUUGGCUAAGCAUGGUCGGACAUCAUGCGGUUAGUGCAAAGGCAUAAGCCAGCUUGACUGCGAGAGUGACGGCUCGAGCAGGUACGAAAGUAGGUCUUAGUGAUCCGGUGGUUCUGAAUGGAAGGGCCAUCGCUCAACGGAUAAAAGGUACUCCGGGGAUAACAGGCUGAUACCGCCCAAGAGUUCAUAUCGACGGCGGUGUUUGGCACCUCGAUGUCGGCUCAUCACAUCCUGGGGCUGAAGUAGGUCCCAAGGGUAUGGCUGUUCGCCAUUUAAAGUGGUACGCGAGCUGGGUUUAGAACGUCGUGAGACAGUUCGGUCCCUAUCUGCCGUGGGCGUUGGAAGAUUGAAAGGGGCUGCUCCUAGUACGAGAGGACCGGAGUGGACGCACCGCUGGUGUUCGGGUUGUCAUGCCAAUGGCACUGCCCGGUAGCUAAGUGCGGAAGAGAUAACCGCUGAAAGCAUCUAAGCGGGAAACUUGCCUUGAGAUGAGUCUUCCCUGACUCUUUAAGGGUCCUAAAGGAACGUUUAAGACGAAGACGUUGAUAGGCUGGGUGUGUAAGCGUAGCGAUACGUUGAGCUAACCAGUACUAAUGAACCGUGAGGCUUAACCUG